rnacentral:rRNA from 1 species
GCGACGACGGGUAGCCGGCCUGAGAGGGCGACCGGCCACACUGGGACUGAGACACGGCCCAGACUCCUACGGGAGGCAGCAGUGGGGAAUAUUGCACAAUGGGCGAAAGCCUGAUGCAGCGACCCCGCGUGAGGGAUGACGGCCUUCGGGUUGUAAACCUCUUUCAGCAGGGAAGAAGCGAAAGUGACGGUNCCUGCAAAAAAAGCGCCGGCUAACUACGUGCCAGCAGCCGCGGUAAUACGUAGGGCGCANGCGUUGUCCGGAAUUAUUGGGCGUAAAGAGCUCGUAGGCGGCUUGUCACGUCGGGUGUGAAAGCCCGGGGCUUAACCCCGGGUCUGCAUUCGAUACGGGCUAGCUAGAGUGUGGUAGGGGAGAUCGGAAUUCCUGGUGUAGCGGUGAAAUGCGCAAAUAUCAGGAGGAACACCGGUGGCGAAGGCGGAUCUCUGGGCCAUUACUGACGCUAAGGAGCGAAAGCGUGGGGAGCGAACAGGAUUAAAUACCCGGGUAGUCCACGCCGUAAACGGUGGGAACUAGGUGUUGGCGACUUUCCACGUCGUCGGUGCCGCAGCUAACGCAUUAAGUUCCCCGCCGGG